CCAAAAACACCCUGAAAGAAGGCUCAAAAUUACAAUGCAAAAACAUUUUCGCGAAAAACACCCUGGAGAAAUUGUGGCAUCACCUGUCACUCCCCCGGCCCCAACAAAAGCAAGGGGCAAGCCAAGUAAAGAAAGGAGUAGUAUAGAUCGAUAGGGAUGCAGCGCACUAGUACGAGUACUACUUCUACUACAUAGCCAUAGCUUAGCUUCUUGUUCUAGCUCGGCUGCGAGCGAGCUCUUCUUCCUCUGGGGGAAAAUGGAGCUCUUCCUCUGCUCUUCACUGCCUCAGUGGCGCCGCUCCCACUGAUCUCUCUCUCGUCUUCUUCUUCUUUGAGCUUGCUUUGCUGCACACUCUAGUGGUGGUAAUAGAACACAGCUCAGCAGCAGCAGCGGAGCAAGAAGCCAAGAAGCCAAGAAGCAACGAGUGUUGUGGUAAAGAAAGCGGAGGAGGAGGACGAAGAAGCUCGAUUGCUUGCUUGCUGUGGAGCUCGCCAUGGACGCCUACGAGGCGACCAAGGUGGUGUUCUCGCGGAUCCAGGCGCUCGACCCGGACCACGCAGCCAAGAUCAUGGGCUUCCUCCUCAUCCAGGACCAUGGCGAGAAGGAGAUGAUACGCCUCGCUUUCGGCCCCGAGGCGCUGCUCCACACCGUCAUGGCCAAGGCCAGGAAGGAGCUCGGCCUCCUCCCGGCGUCCGGGCCCGGGACGCCCACCUCCGUGGCGGCGGCCGCGGCCGCCGCCCACUCGCCCUUCAUGCUCUCGCGGCAGAACUCCGGGCGCUGCGGCACCGCGCCCUCGCCGCUCUCGGUGUCCUCCCCCUCCUCGUGGGCGCCUCCCCCGGUGUUUUCGAGGAACAACAGCAUCAGCAAUGGCGCCGGGGAGGAGAUGGUCGGCCUCGGCGACGAGCUCAUCAGCCCGGCCAACGGCGGGGGCCCGCCAUCGCCCUUCUUCGGCGGCGACCCGCUCAUGGACGAGCUCCAGCUGCAGGACCAGCUCGCGUUCCUCAACGAGGGCGGCGUCCCCGCGGGGCACCAGAUGCCCAUGUUCGACGGCGGCGAGUGCCGGAGCCCCGGCGGAGGCGACGGCGGCCUUUUCUCCUACAACCUAGGGUGGGCGAACGGUGGCCCCGGACACCGCCGGAGCGCGUCGGUCAGCGAGCUCUGCCUCGGCGGCGCCGACGGCCUCGGCUGGAAGCCGUGCCUCUACUACGCGCGCGGCUACUGCAAGAACGGCAGCGCUUGCCGGUUCGUCCACGGCGGCCUCCCCGACGACGCCGCCGGCAAGAUGGACCCCUCCGCCGUGGAGCAGCAGUGUCAGGACUUCCUCAUCCGCUCCAAGUCCCAGCGCCUCGCCGCCGCCGCCUUCCCCUACUCGCCCACCGGCUCACUCCCCGGCUCGCCAUCCGCAGCCACCAAGUGUUUGAGCUUGCUCCUCCAGCAGCAGCAGCAGCAGAACGAGAGCCAGAGGGCGGCGGCAGCGGCGGCGCUGAUGCUAGGCGGCGACGAGGCGCACAAGUUCAUGGGGCGGCCGCGGCUGGAGCGCGCCGACUUCGCGAGCAUGAUGAACCCCGGCUCGCGCCAGAUUUACCUCACCUUCCCGGCGGAUAGCACCUUCCGCGAGGAGGACGUCUCCAACUACUUCAGCAUCUACGGCCCCGUCCACGACGUUCGCAUCCCGUACCAGCAGAAGCGCAUGUUCGGCUUCGUCACCUUCGUCUACCCGGAGACGGUGAAGCUGAUUCUCGCCAAGGGCAACCCGCACUUCAUCUGCGACGCCCGCGUGCUCGUCAAGCCAUACAAGGAGAAGGGCAAGGUCCCCGACAAGUACAGGAAGCAGCACCAGCCGGGCGAGAGGGUGGACUUCUCCAGCUGCACUACUCCAACUGGACUCGAUGCCAGAGACCCCUUCGACAUGCACCAGCUCGGUGCGAGAAUGCUGCAGCACUCCAACAGCGCGAAUGAGAUGCUGCUGAGGAGGAAGCUGGAGGAGCAGCAGCAGGCCGCCGAGCUGCAGCAGGCGAUCGAGCUCCACAGCCGCCGCCUCAUGGGGCUGCAGCUGCUAGACUUCAAGUCGCGCGCCGCCGCGGCGCCGACCCCCAUUGGCAAUCCUUUCAGCGCUUCUCAGACCGCCGCCAACGCGACCGGCGAGUCGCCUCCCGAUUCCGGGGAGCUCGGUAAGGGAAGCGGCUUCCUUCUUGCUCACAAGAAGGCGGUCAACGGAGCCGAUAAGGAGGAAUCCACCGGAGAGUCCUCCAGCCCUAACACAGACAGUGACCAAAGUGUGGAGCAUAAUCUGCCGGACAGCCCGUUUGCGUCGCCGACCAAGUCCGCGGGAUUUGCUCGCGAUCCUUUCGCUCCCACUGAGGCGGAGAUCUCCGCCACCGCGUCGACUGGUUGUAGCGCCACCUAUGUUGGCAUCAACAAUGGCGCCAGCAAUGGCGGCACUAACCAUCUCCUACCUUCUGCCUUGGACAUGCCCUCACCAAAACCUUAUUUCUUCCCCAUGUCCAGGUAUGCAUCAUAAUAAUGCUGGCCUCCGAUCACGGCGCGAUCGGAAUGUAAAGUUGUUCUGAAUGGAAGUGAGUAAUACUACUACUGCCUAAUCCUAGAAUACUAGCAGCAAAGAAAAAGAGAAUAGUGGAAUAUAGGAAAAGAGUGGAGAAGUUGCAGCAUAGUGUUAGUUUCAGUCACCCCCCUUUUUUUUUACUUUCCUUUUCUUUUUCAUUUUUCAAGAAGAUAGCUUUAUUAAACCAUAAAGAGAAGAAAGAGGAUGCCCUGGCCUCCAGAAGAGAAGCAGCAGCAGCAGCAUCAAUCAAGCCACCACCAACCACACCACCAAUGUUUUAAAAUGCAGUGCCAUUCAGAUAAAAAUUUAGAGCCCCUCCUAUUACUACCAUAUCAUAUCACCUUAGUUAAUCUUAGUUACUAUUACCACCCACCGACCCACCACCAUUGAUGAAUUACCCCCCAAAGCUCUUGAUAAGCUACCACCAAAAUAGCCACUAGUUUUAUAGCAUUAGGGGUGAUGUUUAGCCACAAGACUAGUACUAGUACCAACCACAAGAUACAUGUAACACUACUACUGCCUGAUUGCAGCUGUGUGCAAGGCAGUGAGUACAGCAGAUAUGUAAUGGACCCAAGAACAAGUGACAGGUUUGAGUGAGAGAGAGAGAGAGAGAGAGGAAGGCUUAAUUAGCUAGUGUAGUGUAUGUAAAAUCACAAGAAGAUGAACAAGUCAGUCAGUGUAGGUGUGAUGAAAGGGGAAGGACCACUCACUGCUGAUGCUGCACCAUUCUGUUGUGCCAAUGUGGAGAUGUGUCAGCGUUGGUGUUCAUGGUCCCCCUGAUCAGCAAAUGCAGUCCCAAUACAAGAAAAAAAAAGGAAGUUUCUUUUUUUCUUUUAUAAUUUCUUCAUGGCCUUCGCCUCAUACCAUAUGUAUUUCUCUGAAUGAGUUGAAUCA